rnacentral:misc_RNA from 1 species
GAUGAAGAACGCAGCGAAAUGCGAUAAGUAAUGUGAAUUGCAGAAUUCAGUGAAUCAUCGAAUCUUUGAACGCACAUUGCGCCCGUCAGUAUUCUGGCGGGCAUGCCUGUUCGAGCGUCAUUACGCCCCUCAAGUCCCCUGUGGACUUGGUGUUGGGGAUCGGCGAGGCUGGUUUUCCAGCACAGCCGUCCCUUAAAUUAAUUGGCGGUCUCGCCGUGGCCCUCCUCUGCGCAGUAGUAAAACACUCGCAACAGGAGCCCGGCGCGGUCCACUGCCGUAAAACCCCCCAACUUUUUAUAGUUGACCUCGAAUCAGGUAGGACUACCCGCUGAACUUAAGCAUAUCAAUAAGAGGAGGA